rnacentral:rRNA from 1 species
AGUGAACGCUGGCGGUAGGCCUAACACAUGCAAGUCGAACGGCAGCACAGUAAGAGCUUGCUCUUACGGGUGGCGAGUGGCGGACGGGUGAGGAAUACAUCGGAAUCUACUUUUUCGUGGGGGAUAACGUAGGGAAACUUACGCUAAUACCGCAUACGACCUACGGGUGAAAGCAGGGGAUCUUCGGACCUUGCGCGAUUGAAUGAGCCGAUGUCGGAUUAGCUAGUUGGCGGGGUAAAGGCCCACCAAGGCGACGAUCCGUAGCUGGUCUGAGAGGAUGAUCAGCCACACUGGAACUGAGACACGGUCCAGACUCCUACGGGAGGCAGCAGUGGGGAAUAUUGGACAAUGGGCGCAAGCCUGAUCCAGCCAUACCGCGUGGGUGAAGAAGGCCUUCGGGUUGUAAAGCCCUUUUGUUGGGAAAGAAAAGCAGCAGGUUAAUACCCCGCUGUUCUGACGGUACCCAAAGAAUAAGCACCGGCUGACUUCGU